rnacentral:rRNA from 1 species
UACGUAGGGUGCAAGCGUUGUCCGGCAUUAUUGGGCGUAAAGAGCUCGUAGGCGGUCUGUCGCGUCGGCUGUGAAAUCCCGAGGCUCAACCUCGGGUCUGCAGUCGAUACGGGCAAACUAGAGUAUUGCAGGGGAGACUGGAAUUCCUGGUGUAGCGGUGAAAUGCGCAGAUAUCUGGAGGAACACCGGUGGCGAAGGCGGCAUCCUGGACCAAUAUUGACGCUGAGGAGCGAAAGCCAGGGGAGCAAACGGG